rnacentral:rRNA from 1 species
UACGUAUGGAGCGAGCGUUGUCCGGAAUUAUUGGGCGUAAAGGGUACGCAGGCGGUUUAAUAAGUCGAAUGUUAAAGAUCGGGGCUCAACCCCGCAAAGCAUUGGAAACUGAUAAACUUGAGUAGUGGAGAGGAAAGUGGAAUUCCUAGUGUAGUGGUGAAAUACGUAGAUAUUAGGAGGAAUACCAGUAGCGAAGGCGACUUUCUGGACACAAACUGACGCUGAGGUACGACAGCGUGGGGAGUAAACAGG